rnacentral:rRNA from 1 species
UACGAAGGGGGCUAGCGUUGUUCGGAUUUACUGGGCGUAAAGCGCGCGCAGGCGGCUUUGCAAGUCAGGGGUGAAAUCCCAGAGCUCAACUCUGGAAUUGCCUUUGAGACUGUGAGGCUUCGAGUACGGGAGAGGUGAGUGGAAUUCCCAGUGUAGAGGUGAAAUUCGUAGAUAUCGGGAGGAACACCAGUGGCGAAGGCGACUACCUGGCCUGUUCUUGACGCUGAGGCGCGAAAGCUAGGGGAGCAAACGGG